rnacentral:rRNA from 1 species
CCUACGGGAGGCAGCAGUAAGGAAUAUUGGUCAAUGGACGCAAGUCUGAACCAGCCAUGCCGCGUGGAGGAUGAAGGUCCUCUGGAUUGUAAACUUCUUUUAUCUGGGAAGAAAUGGUUCUUUUCUAAGGAUCUUGACGGUACCAGAUGAAUAAGCACCGGCUAACUCCGUGCCAGCAGCCGCGGUAAUACGGAGGGUGCAAGCGUUAUCCGGAUUCACUGGGUUUAAAGGGUGCGUAGGCGGAAUGGAAAGUCCGUUGUGAAAUCUCCGAGCUUAACUCGGAAAUUGCGGUGGAUACUAUCAUUCUUGAAUACUGUGGAGGUUAGCGGAAUAUGUCAUGUAGCGGUGAAAUGCAUAGAUAUGACAUAGAACACCAAUUGCGAAGGCAGCUGGCUACACAGAUAUUGACGCUGAGGCACGAAAG